GGGCGGGUAGCUCAGUGGUUAGAGCAUUUGGUUUGCAAACUAAAGGUCAAGGGUUCGAUCCCCUUCCCGUCCA
rnacentral:tRNA from 3 species